rnacentral:rRNA from 1 species
ACUGCUAAUACUCUAUACUCCUGUCUUACAUAAGUUAGAUAGGGAAAGUUUUUCGGUGUAGGAUGAGGCUAUAUUGUAUCAGCUAGUUGGUGAGGUAAUGGCUCACCAAGGCUAUGACGCAUAACUGGUCUGAGAGGAUGAUCAGUCACACUGGAACUGAGACACGGUCCAGACUCCUACGGGAGGCAGCAGUAGGGAAUAUUGCUCAAUGGGGGAAACCCUGAAGCAGCAACGCCGCGUGGAGGAUGACACUUUUCGGAGCGUAAACUCCUUUUGUUAGGGAAGAAUAAUGACGGUACCUAACGAAUAAGCACCGGCUAACUCCGUGCCAGCAGCCGCGGUAAUACGGAGGGUGCAAGCGUUACUCGGAAUCACUGGGCGUAAAGGACGCGUAGGCGGAUUAUCAAGUCUCUUGUGAAAUCCUAUGGCUUAACCAUAGAACUGCUUGGGAAACUGAUAAUCUAGAGUGAGGGAGAGGCAGAUGGAAUUGGUGGUGUAGGGGUAAAAUCCGUAGAGAUCACCAGGAAUACCCAUUGCGAAGGCGAUCUGCUGGAACUCAACUGACGCUAAUGCGUGAAAGCGUGGGGAGCAAACAGGAUUAGAUACCCUGGUAGUCCACGCCCUAAACGAUGUAUACUAGUUGUUGCUAAGCUAGUCUUGGCAGUAAUGCACCUAACGGAUUAAGUAUACCGCCUGGGGAGUACGGUCGCAAGAUUAAAACUCAAAGGAAUAGACGGGGACCCGCACAAGCGGUGGAGCAUGUGGUUUAAUUCGAAGAUACGCGAAGAACCUUACCCGGACUUGAUAUCUAACAAAUCAUCCAGAGAUGGAAGAGUGUCUGCUUGCAGAAAUGUUAAGACAGGUGCUGCACGGCUGUCGUCAGCUCGUGUCGUGAGAUGUUGGGUUAAGUCCCGCAACGAGCGCAACCCACGUCAUUAGUUGCUAACAGUUCGGCUGAGCACUCUAAUGAGACUGCCUUCGUAAGGAGGAGGAAGGUGUGGACGACGUCAAGUCAUCAUGGCCCUUAUGUCCGGGGCGACACACGUGCUACAAUGGCAUAUACAAUGA